AACUUUUAGCAAUGGAUCACUUGGUUCCGGCAUCGAUGAAGAACGCAGCGAAAUGCGAUAACUAAUGUGAAUUGCAGAAUUCAGUGAAUCAUCGAGUCUUUGAACGCACAUUGCGCCCCCUGGUAUUCCGGGGGGCAUGCCUGUCCGAGCGUCAUUGCUGCCCUCAAGCACGGCUUGUGUGUUGGGCUCCGUCCCCCCGGGGACGGGCCCGAAAGGCAGCGGCGGCACCGAGUCCGGUCCUCGAGCGUAUGGGGCUUUGUCACCCGCUCUGUAGGCCCGGCCGGCGCCAGCCGACAACCCAUCAUCCUUUUCAGGUUGACCUCGGAUCAGGUAGGGAUACCCGCUGAACUUAAGCAUAUCAAUAAGCGGAGGCU
rnacentral:misc_RNA from 1 species